AUGCAUCACCAUGAUCUUGCGUGUGCGUAGGAAAUUUUUUGAAAUUACUACGUUCCCCAACAGCUCUAUGAGUUAAGUAUUUAAAUAAAAUGUUCUCAUCUCUCAUUUUUUUACUUUAAAAGAAUAUAAGUUUCUAUCGCCUGCUCCUCCUUCCGUCAGCCUUAGGUACAUCUCCUUCCCUCAUUGUGUCCAUGUUUUAAUUUUGUUUCCAUCAGUUUUUGUGAAAAUUGCAUAAACUACCUUGCCUCUUGUUUACUUAUGAAUAAAUUCUUUAUUUUUAAUGGAUAAGCCAAUAAAUCCUUAUCAAAUACUAGUAAGUGUUUAUCACAACUCAAAAAAUAAGGAAUGCUUAUCAAUAGGGAAACGCUAGCAAUCUGCUGCUGGAUUAAGCGCACAACGUCCAGCAGACAUGCAUCCUCAUCCAACGGAACAAUAUCUGAAAGCUCAUGUCCACUUGCUCUCUCUCGUUUCAUUUCUUUUCCUCCCAGGAUCUGGUCACUCUCUCCCCCUUUUCUCCAUUCUUGUGUACUCAUCAGAUCGCACGCGGUGCACGACGCUCCUGCCAUGAGAGACAGAGAGGGGUGAGAGAAUGAUGAGGGCAACGCGACCUGACUUUAGGUCCGGCGCUCGCCGAUGGUGGCACGAAUGAAGGGACUGGCGGCACCACUCCUCCCUCACCACCAUGCGGCGCAUCUCAAAAUGCAGCAACACUUCCACCGUUGUAGGCGUCCUCGACCGGGGAGGGGGGGUCAGCUGCAUCGUGCCCCAACAAGGGAUGUUUUCGUUUUUGCAACAAAAGGCAUGUUGCAAUUGCAACAAGGCUCUUGUUGCAAAAGGGUCAUGUUGUAAAAGGGCCAUGUUUCAAUCUUACAAAAAAAUCUGCAACAAGACCUCUGUUGCAGAAAAUACUACAACACCAGUCUUGUUGCAAGAAGGAGGGGGGUCGUGCGCAUGAGCACAUCAGACGGUCAUUACGAGCUCCAUCCAAUGGCCAGGGAGACGAGUGAUUUUUCCCAGUUAUCCACGGCUGACGCGUAGGGUCGCCCUUAUCAACAUAUAAUCAUAUUUAUUUUACGAAAUGCACUCGUUGCACGACAAUUUCUAGAGAAAUAUGGAAAACUCCUAACCCAGCACGAGGUGGGAAACCAAUCUAUUGGUCCUUAAUGGGUGAUGUGGACAGACAAGCCACCUUCCCCAAGUUACAGGAGCCGUGAUCGGAGAUGGACACCCACCUUCUCGCGAGACCGGCCCUGUCUCCCCUCGUGCGUGUGCUCUCUUAGAACCCCAGGACCCGGAAGCAGAAAGAAAACACUCUCCACCGAUGAUGUCAUCGUGCAAACCCCAACCCAGUACCAUCCAGGUGCCUUCCCCAAGUAACGGGCGCCGUGAUCAGAGACGGACGCCCGCCUUGUCGCGAGACCCUGCAUCCCCUCUCUUAAAACCCCAAGCCUUGAAGCAGAAACUUCUAGGCCAUAGAAAAUGUGACUUGCAAGUUGGGUUCAGUAAUAGAAUUAUCAAAGAACCAAAAAUGAUGUUGAUUGUACUUGGUUUGAUUUGGCGCACAUGAGAUGUCCUACCGGUUUCUCAAAUUAAAAAUUGCAUUGGUAUAAACAUUGAAAUCUAUUCAUCAUAGUUUUGAUUAUGAUACUAAGACAUCCAUCAUAUCAUAAAGAGAGACUAGUGCAUUUGAAUCAACUUCACGAGUCAGAUUAGUUUGCCUCCGUAUGGUAUAACCUAUUAGUAUGUAGUAAGUUACAACCUAUUAGUAUGUGAUGUAAACCUACGCUCCUGCAAACUAAAGCUCCAUUCUUUUUAACAAUCACCAGGGGAGAGCAUCUCCACCUGAAUAUAUUACUCAAAAAGCCCCAAGGAGCCAAAGUACACCAGAGAGUACAACAUGAGGAAAGAAACAUGCGUCAAAGAUAAGAAGGCAUCUCUAGUUUGGUCUUUGAACCUAUAGACCCAAAGCGUGAAAUCAUAGAUUACAUUUCGAAGAGUAUCCAAAGUCGAGUGAGUCAGCGGGACACCUGGGCAUUGCGAGAUUCCCAGUUUAGGCAUUUAAUAAUUUUUAGAUGUACUGUACUCCCUCGUUCCUAAAUAUAAAUAUUUUUUAGAGAAUCCAAUAUAGGCUACAUAUGAAGCAAAACGAGUAAAUUUAGACUCUGAAGUAUAUCUAUAUAUGUAGUAAAGACUUGUAUUUAGAGAUGGAGAGAGUAUGAUUUACGGCGCCUGCUAGGCGUCAUCCGGUUGAUAACUUGCAGUUAUAAGCCGCAUUAUCUACCGUCCGAUAUGAUUAAUCAAGGCCAUCAGUUUGUAUCCCCGCAUCACAGCACGCCCACAGCCCCGCGACAUUAACUGAUACAAACCGUUCAAUGGCAGACGCUACCGAGAUCAGAGCGAGCAGCGCUUGCCGUCGGCCGCAUGCAACACGGUCGGUGUCGUGGUGGAGCUGCAAUGGAACAUCGCCGGAGGUCACCGCUGCUGUAAUGGAGCAUCACUUGGCUGACGGUGCCGUGGUGGAGCUGCAAUGAAACAUCACUGCGGGUCGUCGCUGCUACGGUGGAGCGUCACCGGACUGUCGAUGUCGUGGUGCUGUGAUGAAGCAUUGUCGAACCGCCGACGUCGGCGGUGCUUCAUUGCAACCUCGCCGGAGCUUCCAACGACCGCCGCGACGCUUCACUGCAACCUCGCCGGAGCUUCACUGCAACCUCGCCGGAGCUCCAACAACCGUCGUGGCGCUUCAUUGCAACCUCAGUCGUGCUCCAUGGUAGCACCCCGACGGCCGCCGGCGAAGCUUCAUUGCAGUGUCACCACCACCACGCAGCCGUGCUCCAUCGCAGCACCGCUGCCCGCCUGCUCCGUCAAAGCUCCACUGCAGCACCAGACGGGUGCCGACGAAGCUUCACUGCAGCGCAACGCGAUGGCGUCGAGGUGCUGCGGCGAAUCAGGCGACCGCGAUGGCGGAUGUUGUGACACAACAGUGCGGCGAGCCGGCGAUGGCGAUGCUGCGAUGCAGACGCGGUGGCGACAGAGCUCUCGAGGCCCGAUGUUGUGAUGCUCCUCUCCUCAACCUCCCCACUGCAGCAUGUGCGGCGAGUGGUGACCCGCCUCCAACACCAUCGUCUUCUGCAGCUCCGAUGGCCACACCGUACCCUCGCCCCCCUUUGGAGCAGCGAUGCCCUGCGAUGGAUCUCUCACAUGGGUCCUAGGAUUUGUGUUGGAGCUUCGUCGGAGGGAGAGAAGGUGAGCAGGAAGGUUGUUGGCGCCGGCGGCAUGGCUCUGGCGGUGGGUUGGACGGGAUUGAGGGGUGAGAGAGAGGGGGAGGAGAUGGAACAGAGAAGAGAUGGGGAUGAAGAUAAGCGCUCCAGGGAAGACCAGAUCCUUCGGCAAAGAGAUAAGGUGGAGGACGCGUGGGCAUGUGGGCCUGUGGGACACGUGGGUGAUGUGAACGAGGUUUACGAGAGAUAGAAAUCAUCCGGUUGAUUGUAAACGUUUUCCUUUACUAAAAAUAGUAAGUAUGCACGUACAACGCACCUCUUAAUUGUCAUCAAAUAAUUAUUAAAAUAGUUUAUCAUCUACUCCCUCCGUCCCAUAAUAUAAGAUCGUUUUUGAAGCUAACAUAGCUUGAAAAACGUUCUUAUAUUAUGGGACAGAGGGAGUAGUAUACAUGUAUUAUUACUGAUAAUAAUUUUUUUGGGAUGGAAACACAACUAAAUGACGAACAAAUAAAGGGCAUGCAAAUAAGUUCAAGAUCAAUAAAUUUAUGUAACAUAUGAUGCUAGUACCUAGUAAUUAGGUAUAAGCUAUUUUUGUAGCCAUAUCAUCUUGAUUCUACCCUCUGCCCCAUCAUAAAAAUUGACAUCACACAUGGCUGCAACAAUUUCGACAUGAUGAGUACGUUGCCUCUCCUGUCUCACACAUGCCCUUGUUUCGUCAUAUCAUAGAAGAAAAACAGUUCCGUUAUCAGUAAGAUUGAAAAGAGUCAAGCCAUAGCAAAUGGACAAGCUGAUUUCUUCAUCAUGAAAUUUUAUGAUUUGAAAUAGUUACUAAAUAUGUAAUGUUUAGUCCAGCAGCCAAAUGUGCUUAUACCCCUCAGUUGUAUACAUUUUUGCUUCACUCAUGGUUCAGUGCCAUGAUGGCAUAAAAGAUAUAUUAGAAAAACUCGAAUACAUAUAUGUAGUAAUGCAUCGUGCGGGAAGAUGGAUUCAUGCAUAAUUAACAGAUACCCAAAGCAAUUAUGAAAAAACAUGAAAGGACGGAUUAACCAUUGUUACAUCCCAAAUUAGUGAGAAUAUUUGUAAAUUGUAGAAGAAAAAGGUACAACUAUCAAAAUAAAACAAAACUUGAAUCUUGGUUCAUUAAAAAGUAACUUACCCUACAGUCUAAUCAUAGAACAACACAUAAGUAAACAACUUCUUGUUUUCUAAAGAGGAUGAAUUUCAUUGGCAGCAUGUCUGAACUAUCAUAAGAAAAUUAGUCUGAACUCCUAAAAUUUGUUACUCAAGAAAUCAUCUGCAGGCCCCUGAAAUUUUGCUAUGCAUUUUUUGGAAGAGAAGAGCACUAUAUCAUAUCCGCAGUACUGUGCAAUAGUUUGUUUCUUGGGCCUAAACAAAAGCAAAACUUCCUCUAGACACUUGCCUGAUGUAAGAGGGGAAGAAACUUUCAUAAUUUCAAAAUGGAGGACAAUUCACACUUGCCUUUUUUUUGCAAACAAAGGGAUUGUCUAUGUGGGCGGACUGGUGGAGACAUCUUUGAAGAAAAACUCACCUCUAUUUUUUUUACACAAAAUGAAACUGACCGUGCACCUUAAAUAUGUGCAAGCUAGUUGUGUAUUUCAUCGAUUGUUCAAGGAGAAGGCAUCGAGGAAGGAACCUCCUUGAUGAUAAUACAACCUAGUCAAUCAGAAGAUAAUUCUUUUUUUAUUUGGACAAGCCGCACUCACUCACAAUUUCUCUGGUGAGUCACUGUCAACACGGAGUACGUGUAUACAGUAUUAACGAAAGAAAAACAAUCUGGUCACUUCCCCACCGCCCCCUCGCAUCUCCUUGCCGUUCCCCAUUCUCCCAUGGUCGCCCCUGCUCCUCCUCCCCUUAGGAUGCGUUUGGUUGCAGGGCUAUCCUUCCAGGGACAGGGAUAGCCCCUUUUUACAGUGGUUGCCACUCGUUUGGAUCUGAGGCAAAGAGGGAUAGAGGCAGCCAGAUGCUUCGAAUAUUCCCGAAAAUCGGGGCUGUGGGCAGCCGCGAAAAAGCGGCGGGUCGCGGCAACCACCCCCACGCGCACUCGCGAAACGUUUUUUCUGGCUAUUGACUCGUCCUCACCCCCUCCCGAGCACAUGAAACCUCACUUUCCCAUUACUCGAGCUCGCCUCUCUCGCUCGUGCAUGGCGACAUCGACGGCGUGGCGGCGGCGGCAUCUAGCAGAGAGGUCGGCCGUUCCGGAGGCUGCACACUGGAGAUGCAGGACAGGGUUUGAGGCGGCGGCACGGUUGGAUCUCGAGAUGGCCGGCGACUGGAUCUCAAGGAGGCAGGCGGCGGCGCGGCUAGAUCUCGAGGAGCCAGGCGGCUGGGCCCUGAGGAGAAGCGGCGCCGGUGAUUGAGGGUGGAGCGGCGGCUACGUGCAUGGGGCUGGUCCGCUGGUGGAUGCGUGAGACAAUGAAUCUGUAUUUCUGCUGCUGUGUAGUUUUCCUGCUACUGUAUUUUUCGCUUGUGUAGUUUUCCUACUACUAUAUUUUCUGCUGCUGUAUGCACAGUUGCGGUGCCUGCUAUUGAGGCAUGUUUGAUGUGUGGUGUGCCUGUGUUGGUGCUCAAUGCAAAAUGCAGAUUAUGGGCUAAUCUCAUCAUCUCAAGCAAAAAUAUCAUCACAACCCUUAUUAUUCAUCCCUUGAACCAAACACUUCAGUGGCUAUCCUCAACCAGCCAACCAAACAAAAACAAGGGCUAUCCCUAACCAGCUGGUUGGGGAUACCCACAACCACCCUAGCCUAUCCCUCAAACCAAACACAUCCUUAAUGUCGAAUCCGGCCGUGGAACUGGCCGUCGGAGGCGUGGGACUCGCACACCCCUGCUCUUCCCUGCUCCUUCAUCGAAUUCGGUCGCCGAAGUGACCGAGGCGGUGCUCGAGCUCGGCAUGCUCGCCCGGACGCCGAGGCUCCUCCCUCCUCCUGAUUUAGUAAACAUCGCCGCCGCCGCCAUGAGCCUCUCCACCCUCUCCCGCGCUCGUCCCAGUUCCAGGUUACUCUAUCUCUCCGACCCCGCCGCCUGCUCCUCCCCGUCAAUUCGGUUCAUCAACAGGUGCAUCACCUCACUCCGUGCAAUGUUCGGACCCCUAGGGUUAUCUGCUCGGGGGCCAUGGCGUGUUCCACGCGGUGCUGCCUUCGCCGCCGCCGCCGAUCGGCGGUGAGGGCGCUGGCUUGUGUCUCGUGGGUCGCUGCCUGACUUCCGGUCUGGGGAGACGGGCUUCAUUGGCCAAUAAAUAGGGACGGGAAGGUCCGAGACUGGAGGUCCCUGCUCGCAAACUCGCAAUCCCGGCAGCUAUUCUACUACCAAUCGAAAAAGAUUUCAUGAAGGAGAAGAAGAAGGCGCCGAAAGGGAAUGGGAGCAACAAGUCUGAAUGGACGGGUAUGUUUUGAUUGUGAGUUGCAUUGCACUUUAUUUUUAUAGUUUGGGAAAUCCUUGGGGUUGCCUAUGGAACGUUUCCUUGAUGUGAUGGUUGGGCAUAUUUGUUUACUAAAUCAAAGUUCCAGUUUACCUUCAUCGACAACUUUAAAUAUUUCUUACACGUCUUACCACAAGCAUAUAUACUUCAAAAACAUUUAUUCUAAACCGGUUCAUGAUAGAUCAACAAAACCUCGUUGACGCUCUCACCUAAUAGGAUAUCUACAUGAAAGAAGAAUAUCGUAUAACUGCAUAGUUCCAACAAGAAGACAUUCAAAUGCACCAUUUUACACUCUGGAAUCAGGAAGUGCAACUUCUUUAGUGUUUAGAAUGGAUCAGGUUACAUGUUUUGUUUUCAAUGUUAAAUAAAUAGUAAGCUUGCAAGUGCAACACAUGUAUUAUCAUGUGAAAACAAUUAGCAUUCAUCAUACAAAGAUAAUAUAUCAAUAAAAUGAUGAAAAUACAUUGAUGUACCAACAUAAGAGAGGCAAUAGAGAUGUUUAAAAAUGUUGUAACACACCAAAAAAAUUACACGUACUAAAACCCUAGUGAACAUAUUGCCAAACCUUUGUAUUCAAGUUUUUCCUAUCAAAUAGGUAAUGCCGAGAACCAAUUUUUUUUGUAAUUACACACAUGGGAAAUUCGCAAAGAAGCGCAUCAUUCAUCAUAAUCAACUCCAUAUUAUUAGGAAAAAUCUAAAAGGCUUGAAACAUAAACCAAUGCAUCUAUCCACAAAAUAAGCUCUGCUUCAUGACACCGACCAAUGAGUACAAAGAAUUGUUAUGAUGACACUAAUAGGGCAUCUUGCAAUAUAACAGAAAAUCAUUCAAGUCUAUCAUGUAUAUUUAGGAAAAAAGCAAAUAUUGCAAUAACUUUUUGUGAUGAAGUAAUACAAAAGAGGUUCUGGAACAUACUCCUUGGCUUCUUCUAAGGCUCAGUAGAAGCAUGCUUGCUUGCAUUCAUUGCAAUCAACCUUCCACUCAAAUCCUUUUAACCAAAAGGGAGCUUGCUGCCCCAAACGAGUAGUAACAAACACUUUUCUGUUGGGAAAUGUUUCACGCUGAAAUAUAAUCUCAAGGAAUCACUUUCAUAGAAGAAUUUUGUGUUCUAGUUUGAUGAGGGAUGCAUUAGUUAAAAUUUCAAAACAAGCUAUUUCAGUUACACCAGUGUUCCAUAUUUUACUGUACUACUAUUUUCUGCUAUGUACUUUAUUAUAACGGUUUCCUUCACAUACUUCCAGUUUGCAACUUCGGUUAUACUAAUGUUACAAACACAAACAAAUAAAAAUACCUGGUUGUACUUGAAUUUUGUGUUGUUGUCCCUCCUUUUUCAUUUAUCUAAACUGCAAUGGACUCCGUUAUAAACACUGAAGCAGUGUACAAAGCUAUCACUGAAGCACUAUAUAAAGCUAUCACAUUGCUAUUCCAUUUUUGCUGAAGUGUUUUUUCAACCACAACUUAGUUCUGUACUUCUUGUUAAAAAUAUCCACCCGGUGAUUUUUUUAUAUCUUCAUAAUAAUACCUAUCCUCUAAUUGCUGGUGCGCUGUAGUGAGAUUCAAAUUUGGAGCAAUACAUCUUGCCCAGUUUCACCUGUGGAAACCCUCUUUUAAGGUCAAGAUCCCUACAAAGAUCAAAAUGAUAGAAGAUCCGGUGUGCUGGCACUAAUGCAGAGCGUGGCGCAGAUGGGCUGGGUCCUCGGCCCAUCAUCCUUAUUGUCUGCGCCUACAUCACCUACUACAUCGUUGUCCUCAUCUCCGACUACUACCGCUCGCCGGAACCCAUCCAUGGCAAACGGAACUAUACACCUGUACAUGGACGCCGUCCGCUCCUGCCUCGGGCCUACAGAUGUAGCUGUGUGUGGCAAUGCACAGUACACAGUUGUCUAUGCAUCACAGUUGGCACGGGCAUCAUGUCUGUGGUGCCCAGCAACUGCCGCCAUUAAAAGGGCCACGACGCGAACUGCAGCAGGAUGGGGCGAUGUACCUGGUGAUGUUCCGCCUUGCCGAGGUCGUCCUCUCAUAGUUCCCGGGCCUGGAGAUCGGCCACCUUUGUCUCCAUCAUCGCCGUUAUCAUGUCCUUCACCUACUCCUUCAUCGCGUUCUUCCUGAGUGUGCGACCUGCGCGCAAGGAUAGGCCAGUGGCGGUGUACAGCCACUUGCAUCGGUCGGCGGCCAAACGAAGGAGCGGUGGGUGGUGACCUGUGCGUAAGGAGAGGCCGGCCAGCGGCGGCGGGGGCGGAGGCCAACGCAGAUCAAUGGCGACAAGGGAAAAAGAGGCAAGGCAAGCGUCGGCGGUGGUGGAGGAGGAGGGUCAGGCGGCGACCUGUGGGGCGGCGACCCUCGAGGGAGUAGGAGCAUCCGGCGGGCAGAGGCAGGCGGCAUGCGUCGCGGGGUAGUUGUUUUGAGGCGAUCUGAUUGCGAUCAGUUUCCUGUUUUCCUGGCUUGCGUGAUCGUAGGGCUUGCAGAGGUGGGACGGCAGAGUUUUUGUCCGCCGAGGAAAAUUGCUAAGCGCAGUUUUGCCUGAGGGUUAGUCUAAUCUUAAUGGUUAGAUCUAAUUAAAUAAUCUGAUCGUGAGGUUGUAAUUGGUCCAUGAUGUUUUGUGUAGUUUAGGCUGGGUAUAUUUAGCAAUGAAUAUGUUUGCUUGUUUAAUAGUAGUAUAGAAGUAUAGAUAAUUGUA